AGUGAACGCUGGCGGUAGGCCUAACACAUGCAAGUCGAACGGCAGCACAGUAAUAGCUUGCUCUUACGGGUGGCGAGUGGAGGACGGGUGAGGAAUACAUCGGAAUCUACUUUUUCGUGGGGGAUAACGUAGGGAAACUAACGCUAAUACCGCAUACGACCUACGGGUGAAAGCAGGGGAUCUUCGGACCUUGCGGGAAUGAAUGAGCUGGUGUCGGAUUAGCUAGUUGGGGGGGUAAAGGCCCACCAAGGCGACGGCGGGUAGCUGGUCUGAGGGGGGGAAACGCCACAUUGGGACCGAGGGGAGGCCCAAGUGCGUACUGGUGGAAGAAGGGGGGAAUAUUGCACAAGGGGCGGAGGGCUGAUGCAGCAACGCCGCGUGUGGGAUGACGGCUUUCGGGUUGUAAAACGCUUUCAGCAGGGGCCCAGCUUGUGGUGACGGUACCUGAAGAAGAAGCACCGGCUAACUACGUG
rnacentral:rRNA from 1 species